rnacentral:rRNA from 1 species
AGUGAACGCUGGCGGUAUGCCUAACACAUGCAAGUCGAACGGCAACACAGUAAUAUCUUGCUCUUACGGGUGGCCAGUCGCGUACGGGUGAGGAAUACAUCCGAAUCUACUUUUUCGUGUGGGUUAACGUAGGUAAACUUACUCUAAUACCGCAUACGACCUACGGGUGAAAGCAGUGGAUCUUCGCACCUUUCGCGAUUGAAUGAGCCGAUGUGGGAUUAGCUAGUUGGCGGGCUAAAGGCCCACCAAGGCGACGAUCCGUAGCCGGUCUGAGAGGAUGAUAAGCGACAUUGGAAGGGAAACACGGUCAAGGGUACUGCGGGAGGGACCAGAGGGCAACAUUGGACAAUGGGGGGAAGCCUGGUCCAGUCAUACCGAGUGGGUGACGAAAACGUUCGGGUUGUAAAGCCCUUCUGUUGGGAAAGAAAAGCAGCAGGUUAAUACCAAGCUGUUGUGACGGUACCCAAAGAAUAAGCACCGGCUAACUUCGUG